rnacentral:rRNA from 1 species
GGGGUAAUGGCCUACCAAGGCGGCGACGGGUAGCCGGCCUGAGAGGGUGGACGGCCACAUUGGGACUGAGAUACGGCCCAGACUCCUACGGGAGGCAGCAGUGGGGAAUAUUGCACAAUGGGCGCAAGCCUGAUGCAGCGACGCCGCGUGGGGGAUGACGGCCUUCGGGUUGUAAACUCCUUUCGCUAGGGACGAAGCUUUUUGUGACGGUACCUAGAUAAGAAGCACCGGCUAACUACGUGCCAGCAGCCGCGGUAAUACGUAGGGUGCGAGCGUUGUCCGGAAUUACUGGGCGUAAAGGGCUCGUAGGUGGUUUGUCGCGUCGUCUGUGAAAUUCCGGGGCUUAACUCCGGGCGUGCAGGCGAUACGGGCAUAACUUGAGUACUGUGGGGGUAACUGGAAUUCCUGGUGUAGCGGUGAAAUGCGCAGAUAUCAGGAGGAACACCGAUGGCGAAGGCAGGUUACUGGGCAGUUACUGACGCUGAGGAGCGAAAGCAUGGGUAGCGAACAGGAUUAGAUACCCUGGUAGUCCAUGCCGUAAACGGUGGGCGCUAGGUGUGAGGGUCUUUUCACGACUUUCGUGCCGUAGCUAACGCAUUAAGCGCCCCGCCUGGGGAG